rnacentral:rRNA from 1 species
CCUACGGGAGGCUGCAGUGAGGAAUAUUGGUCAAUGGACGCAAGUCUGAACCAGCCAUGCCGCGUGCAGGAAGACGGCGCUAUGAGUUGUAGACUUCUUUUGUACGAGGGUAAACGCAGAUACGCGUAUCUUUCUGAGAGUAUCGUACGAAUAAGGAUCGGCUAACUCCGUGCCAGCAGCCGCGGUAAUACGGAGGAUUCAAGCGUUAUCCGGAUUUAUUGGGUUUAAAGGGUGCGUAGGCGGUCGGAUAAGUUAGGGGUGAAAUCCCGAGGCUCAACUUCGGAAGUGCCUCAGAUACGGGUCGGCUUGAGAGUAGUGGAGGCAGGCGGAAUGGAUGGUGUAGCGGUGAAAUGCUUAGAGAUCGUACAGAACACCGAUUGCGAAGGCAGCUUACCAUGCUACUUCUGACGUUGAGGCACGAAAGCGUGGGGAGCAAACAGGAUUAGAUACCCGGGUAGUC